CUCUAUAAAGACAGCUAAAUGGCCGCGGUAACUCUGACCGUGAUAAAGUAGCAUAAUCACUCGUCACUUAAUUGGUGACUGGAAUGAAUGGCUAAACGAACCCCCCUCUGUCUCCAAGAAAAUUCCGGCGAACUUGAAAUGACAGUGAAGAUGCUGUCAAGCAACUGUAAGACGAAAAGACCCUAUCGAGCUUUACUGGAAGCUUGCAGAUUUAAAAGGACGUUAACCUGCACGUCUUCAAAAACUGCAAGCCCGACAGUUUGGUUGGGGCGACCACCCCUAAGAAAGUAUCAGGGGAACUCUAAAGGUAAUUACUAAAUGGAAAAUGCCUUACUGAAAACAAACAAGUCAACCAGUUACUAUAGGUAGGACAUAAUGACCCGUUACAUCAAUCACGAAAUGUAACGACCACGAAAAAAGUUACCGUAGGGAUAACAGGGUAAUAUUUUCGGAGAGUUCAUAUCGAUGAAAAUGUUUGCCACCUCGAUGUUGAAUUGUGAUAUCCUAGGGGUGCAG
rnacentral:rRNA from 1 species